rfam:Omnitrophica WOR_2 bacterium RIFOXYA2_FTLL_45_12 rifoxya2_full_scaffold_1284, whole genome shotgun sequence.
UUUUCGGAGAGUUUGAUCCUGGCUCAGAGUGAACGCUGGCGGCGUGGAUUAGGCAUGCAAGUCGAGCGAUGCUCUAAAUAAAAAGGUUGAAGCCGCAAGGCGGAUGCCGAUUUGUUUAGAAUAUAGCGGCAAACGGGUGAGUAAUACGUGAGUAAUCUACCCUUAAGUUGAAGAUAGCCUUGCGAAAGCGAGAGUAAUAUUUGAUGUCAUCCUGGAGGUUCAUUCCUUCAGGAAAAAAGUACCUUUACCGGUACGCUUGAGGAUGAGCUCGCGCCCUAUCAGCUAGUUGGCGGGGUAACGGCCCACCAAGGCUUUUGACGGGUAGCUGGUCUGAGAGGAUGGUCAGCCACACGGGGACUGAGACACUGCCCCGACUCCUACGGGAGGCUGCAGUCGAGGAUAUUUAGCAAUGGGCGAAAGCCUGACUAUGCGACGCCGCGUGAGGGAUGAAGGCUUUCGGGUCGUAAACCUCUUUCAAUGGGGAAGAAACCUUUGCUUUAAUAGGCAAAGCUGACGGUACCCAGAGAAGAAGCCACGGCCAACUCCGUGCCAGCAGCCGCGGUAAUACGGAGGUGGCAAGCGUUACUCGGAUUUAUUGGGUGUAAAGGGCAGGUAGGUGGUCUUGUAAGUUGGGAGUGAAAUCCCCCGGCUCAACCGGGGAACUGCUUUCAAAACUGCAAGACUUGAGACUAGAAGAGGAGAACGGAAUUCCCGGUGUAAGGGUGAAAUCUGUAGAUAUCGGGAGGAACACCAGUAGCGAAGGCGGUUCUCUGGGCUAGUUCUGACACUGAGCUGCGAAAGCUAGGGGAGCAAACAGGAUUAGAUACCCUGGUAGUCCUAGCCGUAAACUAUGAGCACUAGGUGUCGGUUCGUAUAGGACCGGUGCCGUAAGAUAACUCGUUAAGUGCUCCACCUGAGGACUACGGCCGCAAGGUUAAAACUCAAAGGAAUUGACGGGGGUCCGCACAAGCGGUGGAACAUGUGGUUCAAUUCGACGAUACGCGAAGAACCUCACCAAGGCUUGACAUACAGGUAGUAGCAAACCGAAAGGGGCGCCAACCGUCAAGUCGGUUGCCUGAACAGGUGUUGCAUGGCUGUCGUCAGCUCGUGCCGUGAGGUGUUGGGUUAAGUCCCGCAACGAGCGCAACCAUUAUCCUUUGUUGCCACUCUUUUUGCCGCAAGGCCGAAAGAAGCACUCUAAGGAGACUGCCCUGGAUAACAGGGAGGAAGGCGGUGAUGACGUCAAGUCAGUACGGCCCUUAUGCCUUGGGCUACACACGUGUUACAAUGCCUACUACAAAGCGUUGCCAAACCGCGAGGUGGAGCUAAUCGCAAAAAAGUAGGCCCAGUUCAGAUUGGAGUCUGCAAUUCGACUCCAUGAAGACGGAAUCGCUAGUAACGGCGGAUCAGCUACGCCGCCGUGAAUACGUUCCCGGACCUUGUACACACCGCCCGUCAAGCGAUGGGAGCUGGGGGUACCCGAAGCCCUAUGCAAAUAGGUCUAAGGUAAAACCAGUGACUGGCGCUAAGUCGUAACAAGGUAGCCGUAUCGGAAGAUGCGGCUGGAUCACCUCCUUU